CCACCUUCACCGCUUGGACCUCUGGUAUACAAUGAGCCCGAACCCCCACGAUUCUUUUUCUUCUCUUCUUCCCAUCGUGGCCGCCACCUCCUAUCCUUCUCCCUCCCAAAUUAUUGGCAUCACGCCGGCGAGCAGGACCAUGGCGCCAGCGAGCGUGGGCUGCAGCUUGCGUCGGUGCAGCCGGCGUGGCCCCAGACAUCCUCGAGCGGCGUCCGCCUCGGGAAUCAGCCGGCGGCGUGACGUCCUUGCAGAUUAUUCCCCUUUUCAAGAUUGAUGGCCUUCUCUCUGCUCUGGCUUGCACCCUGCCUACCUGGGGAAUAAGGAAGAGACGGCUGGAGCUUAGCCGGGCCAAGCUGCUGGGGCUGCCGAGGUGCAGCCGGCAUGCUCGCCGACGUCCCCAUAGGGCGGAGGCCGCCGCGGGAGUCAGCCGGCGCCUAUUCCCCGCCGCAGGAGUCAGCCGGCCGACCGAGGGCCUCCUCUCUCCCUGAUUGCCGGCAUGCUUGCGGACGUCUCCAUAGGGCGGAGGCCGCCACGGGAGUCAGCUGGCCGCGCGGCGCCUAUUCCCCGUCGCAGGAGUCAGCCGGCCGACCGAGGGCCUCCUCUCUCCCUGAUUGUCGUGCCUUCUGCCUACCUAAGUUCCUCCUGUGGUACGGUGGUUGUCACCAUGGCGGUACCAUCAAGAUGUGCAGCCAGGACCUUCCGUAAUUCACCUCCAAUCUCCUCUUCUUAUUCUCUACGGGACAAACCGAUCCACAAGAUUUAAGGAGAGUGCGUUCUUGACGAGAAACAUCUAUCAGGUAUGCUGCUUAAUUUUCGCCCAUCUUUAGUUUUCCUAGGGUCUGUGCUUUCCAACUAUGUAUCCUGCAGUACAACGAUGCCGGCGCCUCUGUUCUUGCUGAUGUGGAUGCUCGGAGGAGGGAGAUCCCUUUAGGUUCUCUGGAGCGGGGUUCGAUUCCAAGCCACCGGCUACUUCGUUUCGGUAGGUUAAAGGCCAUAUCAACUUUCCCUCUUUCUUCUUCCAGUACAUUUGUCUGGCUACCAUAGCUCCUCUUGCUACCUCUGAUGGAAAGUUCAUGACGUCGUUUCUUGCUGAAAAGAUCCUUCUUCUGCUAGCCAUACCAGUUUAACUAGCAAACUUUCAGAUUAUAUAGAUGGUCGGAGGUUUUCGUCUAGCUAGGCUGGGAACUGAUCGAUUAUACGGAGUAUGUUGCAAAGAGAGGCUUUGGGAUCCUGAUAUCUCUUUAAACCGCUUGUGUGAAUCGAUCCCAUUCUCACGUUAUUCUCUACUUUCUUAUUCCAUGUUGCAGUUUCUGUACUGUUUACAGAGUGCAGGUAAUUUUUUCAGAUUUGGUUUUACCUUUACAACCUCUUAUUUUCAUUUAUACAUGAAACUCCUUUUCUAUUUACAGGUCUUCAGUGAGCAUGGAUUGUCAUUGGUCCAUAGAUUUUUCUUGUGGCAUCAUACCUUCUGUUUAAUACAAGAAAAGCUAGCUAUUCUUAAGGAAGGAGAUGGAUCCAGUGUAUUGAAAGCAAAUCAUGUUCUUUUCGUCAAGUUUUUUUGGGUAUCUUAUUACCAUAUAAGAACUCGAUGGAUGAUUUAACUUCUAUAUAUUCUUUUCAACCAAUAAGAAAGAAGGCCAAGUUUAUAAAUUUAUAAGGGAUUCUCAAACAGCUGUGAAAAAUUCAUGGACCAUGCAUGGAGCCAAUAGGAAAUUAGACCAAGUUAGGGAUGAUAUGAAUUUCUAUUCUCCAUUUAGGUAACAGAAUAUGGUAUUUGAUUUGGUUUUAUUUCCACAUUUUCAGGUGGAGUUACUACUUUUCUUCUUAUUUUAGUCUGUACAUUUCCUGAUGAGACCAUUCCUUUAAACAAACUGCUGGUUUUUUUUAUUUGGUCAUAAUUGCUAAACCAUGCUCUAUGAUUUUGAUUCUUCAAUCUUGAUGCGUUCGUGCGUCCACUUAUCUAGCAGAAUAAAGUAGCAACGUUCCCCAUUACUAACAUGCAGUUUAAUUGUAGCUUUAUCUACUGUUUUGGUGAAAACACGAAUUGGUAAGUAAUCUUCAAAUUGUACAGAAAGAUUGGUCUUCUCUUAUAAUGCGUUGGAAAUACUUGCUAAAUUAUCUCUCCUUGGUAGGAAAAUUUGAGCUGCUAAGACGCAUAUGCCAUGUGUUACGAAAUUUAUUGGGGUCAUUUGCAUUGCAAAAGCUAGGACUGUUUGUGCAUAUAAGCAACCACGGACAUUACUCAUGUUUUUACUAGGUAUCUCUUCCAAGGCUGAUUUUCCUAUCUCAAGUUCCUCUUCCGUUUUGCUUCUCGGAUCGACCUCCCUUGAGCUUUCGGGGUUCAGUCUGCGCUCAGCUAAUAUCUAUUUCUCAUGUCUUUCUGGGCGUCAGGGAUACAGAAUACAGAAGAACGCCGGCCACAAGUGACAUCGAUCUUCAUGGCUGAUGUUCAGCAAAAUUCACGGAGUGUGCACGGCUCCAAUGUGCUUACAUAAUAGAGUUGUCUCUAGAAUACACACAGUUCUGGCUGACUCCGUGAUUAACUCAGCUACAGACAAAGUAGCUACAUCUAGAGGUAUUAGUGUUCACAAGUUCUCUGACGAAAAGAUUGUAGUAUCCUUCCCCUAUCACAAAGAAGCACUGCGAGCCAUGAAGCUAGGUGGACCAGAGACGGUCCUGCAGAUUAAUGGUUGCGCUUAUCGCUUUACCAUGGGAGAUGAACGGGUUCACCUAAGAAGCAUAUUUAUUGUUCAGAGGGUACAUUUCACUCAAAGGAAAUUGCUUCCGCAAAUGUGGACAUGACAGAUAGUGGAAUAGGUGUUUGUCUCCAAACUGCGCAUUGGAGCAUAUUGAUCAAGAGACAAAGGCAGUGGAUGAUCCAUCAGCUUUCGCCUGCAUCGUGCGUUGACAGAAAAUCAUGCCAAUAUGAGAUUGUAUUGACAUUAAGAUUCCAGAGAAUAGUUCAACAGAGGGUGCCACCUUGCAGAACACACAUGUGUUUAUUUCUUAAUAGACACACAAUUUCGUUGGACAAAAUCCAGUACCUCCAUGGGGUCAAAAGAAGGUACAGAUAUUAGAGUGCACUUAGCGAUGCAUCGGCAUGUGUGUGGUGUCUCCCUCUGAGUGUUUCAUUUGACCAACAAUGUUUGAUGUCAAGGCUAUCGAUAAAUAUUCUUCCACUGUAUUUCUGCAUCCUAGGCUAGAGACGUGCUUUACAGAUUUACAACAUGUAUGUGGGUUUCUAAAGAAUAAAUUGCAUGCUCGGGCUCGGGUGAAGCUGCUAAAUGACGAAGCAUUUUUACUGUAUUUCGAUCAAGAUAACACCUUAAUGUCCUUAAUUAAGUGAAAUCAUGUAUGUUUCUUUAUUCACAGCAGAGAGCUUGAGCUCAUUCAGUGG